rnacentral:rRNA from 1 species
UACGUAGGGUGCGAGCGUUGCCCGGAUUUAUUGGGGCGUAAAGGGCGCGUAGGCGGUGAGAUGCGUCUGUUGUGAAAUCGCUCGGCUCAACUGGGCGGGGUCAGCGGAUACGGUCUCACUUGAGCAAGCUAGGGGGCAAUGGAAUUCCCGGUGUAGUGGUGGAAUGCGUAGAGUAUCGGGAGGAACACCAGUGGCGAAGGCGGUUGCC